CAGGCUAGAGUCGUGUAGAGGGGGGUAGAAUUCCAGGUGUAGAGGUGAAAUGCGUAGAGAUCUGGAGGAAUACCGGUGGCGAAGGCGGCCCCCUGGACAAAGACUGACGCUCAGGUGAGAAAGCGUGGGGAGCAAACAGGAUUAGAUACCCUGGUAGUCCACGCCGUAAACGAUGUCGAUUUGUAGGUUGUGACCUUGAGGCGUGGCUUCCGGAGCUAACUCGUUAAAUCGAACUCCUUGGGAGUACGGC
rnacentral:rRNA from 1 species